UGGGGAAUUUUGGACAAUGGGGGAAACCCUGAUCCAGCCAUCCCGCGUGUGCGAUGAAGGCCUUCGGGUUGUAAAGCACUUUUGGCAGGAAAGAAACGUCGCGGGUUAAUACCCCGCNAAACUGACGGUACCUGCAGAAUAAGCAACGGCUAACUACGUGCCAGCAGCCGCGGUAAUACGUAGGGUGCAAGCGUUAAUCGGAAUUACUGGGCGUAAAGCGUGCGCAGGCGGUUCGGAAAGAAAGAUGUGAAAUCCCAGAGCUUAACUUUGGAACUGCAUUUUUAACUACCGGGCUAGAGUGUGUCAGAGGGAGGUGGAAUUCCGCGUGUAGCAGUGAAAUGCGUAGAUAUGCGGAGGAACACCGAUGGCGAAGGCAGCCUCCUGGGGAUAACACUGACGCUCAUGCACGAAAGCGUGGGGAGCAAACAGGAUUAGAUACCCUGGUAGUCACGCCCUAAACGAUGUCAACUAGCUAGUUGGGGGCCUUUGCGGGCCUUGGGUAGCGCAGCUAACGCGUGAAGUUACCGCCCUGGGGAGUACGGUCGCAAGAUUAAAACUUAAAGGAAUUG
rnacentral:rRNA from 1 species